rnacentral:sRNA from 1 species
UUUUCUUUUUCUUUCUUCUUGU